rnacentral:rRNA from 1 species
AUUGAACGCUGGCGGCAGGCCUAACACAUGCAAGUCGAGCGAGCGGCGGACGGGUGAGUAAUGUCUGGGAAACUGCCUGAUGGAGGGGGAUAACUACUGGAAACGGUAGCUAAUACCGCAUACUAUCAGAUGUGCCCAGAUGGGAUUAGCUAGUAGGUGGGGUAACGGCUCACCUAGGCGACGAUCCCUAGCUGGUCUGAGAGGAUGACCAGCCACACUGGAACUGGGACACGGUCCAGACUCCUACGGGGGGCAGCGGUGGGGAAUAUUGGACAAUGGGCGCAAGCCUGAUGCAGCCAUGCCGCGUAUGUGAAGAGGGCCUUCGGGUUUUAAAGCACUUUCAGCGGGAAGGCGUUACCCGCAGAAGAAGCACCGGCUAACUCCGUGCCAGCAGCCGCGGUAAUAC